rnacentral:rRNA from 1 species
AUGAACGCUAGCUACAGGCUUAACACAUGCAAGUCGAGGGGCAGCAUGGUCUUAGCUUGCUAAGACUGAUGGCGACCGGCGCACGGGUGAGUAACACGUAUCCAACCUGCCGUCUACUCUUGGACAGCCUUCUGAAAGGAAGAUUAAUACAAGAUGGCAUCAUGAGUCCGCAUGUUCACAUGAUUAAAGGUAUUCCGGUAGACGAUGGGGAUGCGUUCCAUUAGAUAGUAGGCGGGGUAACGGCCCACCUAGUCUUCGAUGGAUAGGGGUUCUGAGAGGAAGGUCCCCCACAUUGGAACUGAGACACGGUCCAAACUCCUACGGGAGGCAGCAGUGAGGAAUAUUGGUCAAUGGGCGAGAGCCUGAACCAGCCAAGUAGCGUGAAGGAUGACUGCCCUAUGGGUUGUAAACUUCUUUUAUAAAGGAAUAAAGUCGGGUAUGCAUACCCGUUUGCAUGUACUUUAUGAAUAAGGAUCGGCUAACUCCGUGCCAGCAGCCGCGGUAAUACGGAGGAUCCGAGCGUUAUCCGGAUUUAUUGGGUUUAAAGGGAGCGUAGAUGGAUGUUUAAGUCAGUUGUGAAAGUUUGCGGCUCAACCGUAAAAUUGCAGUUGAUACUGGAUAUCUUGAGUGCAGUUGAGGCAGGCGGAAUUCGUGGUGUAGCGGUGAAAUGCUUAGAUAUCACGAAGAACUCCGAUUGCGAAGGCAGCCUGCUAAGCUGCAACUGACAUUGAGGCUCGAAAGUGUGGGUAUCAAACAGGAUUAGAUACCCUGGUAGUCCACACGGUAAACGAUGAAUACUCGCUGUUUGCGAUAUACGGCAAGCGGCCAAGCGAAAGCGUUAAGUAUUCCACCUGGGGAGUACGCCGGCAACGGUGAAACUCAAAGGAAUUGACGGGGGCCCGCACAAGCGGAGGAACAUGUGGUUUAAUUCGAUGAUACGCGAGGAACCUUACCCGGGCUUAAAUUGCAGAUGAAUUACGGUGAAAGCCGUAAGCCGCAAGGCAUCUGUGAAGGUGCUGCAUGGUUGUCGUCAGCUCGUGUCGUGAGAUGUUGGGUUAAGUCCCGCAACGAGCGCAACCCUUAUCCUUUGUUGCCAGCGGUCCGGCCGGGAACUCAAAGGAGACUGCCAGUGAUAAACUGGAGGAAGGUGGGGAUGACGUCAAAUCAGCACGGCCCUUACGUCCGGGGCUACACACGUGUUACAAUGGGGGGUACAGAGGGCCGCUACCACGCGAGUGGAUGCCAAUCCCAAAAACCUCUCUCAGUUCGGACUGGAGUCUGCAACCCGACUCCACGAAGCUGGAUUCGCUAGUAAUCGCGCAUCAGCCACGGCGCGGUGAAUACGUUCCCGGGCCUUGUACACACCGCCCGUCACACCAUGAGAGUUGGAAAUACCCGAAGCCUGUGAGCUAACCUAUGAGGCAGCAGUCGAAGGUAGAGCCAAUGAUUGGGGUG